AGAACUUUCCAGAGAUGGAUUGGUGCCUUCGGGAACUCUGAGACAGGUGCUGCAUGGCUGUCGUCAGCUCGCGUUGUGAAAUGUUGGGUUAAGUCCCGCAACGAGCGCAACCCUUAUCCUUUGUGCCAGCGGUUAGGCCGGGAACUCAAAGGAGACUGCCAGUGAUAAACUGGAGGAAGGUGGGGAUGACGUCAAGUCAUCAUGGCCCUUACGAGUAGGGCUACACACGUGCUACAAUGGCGCAUACAAAGAGAAGCGACCUCGCGAGAGCAAGCGGACCUCAUAAAGUGCGUCGUAGUCCGGAUUGGAGUCUGCAACUCGACUCCAUGAAGUCGGAAUCGCUAGUAAUCGUGGAUCAGAAUGCCACGGUGAAUACGUUCCCGGGCCUUGUACACACCGCCCGUCACACCAUGGGAGUGGGUUGCAAAAGAAGUAGGUAGCUUAACCUUCGGGAGGGCGCUUACCACUUUGUGAUUCAUGACUGGGGUGAAGUCGUAACAAGGUAAGCGUAGUGCU
rnacentral:rRNA from 1 species